rnacentral:lncRNA from 1 species
UCCUGUAGACCAAACCCAGUACCGUUACGAUUUCAAUCGUACGGGAAAUCCACUCACGAAGCUAAGUGGGGUAGGCCUAGCUAGGCCGGGGCCUGCACAGUCAGCACCAUUUUUUUAAGGAAUAGUUUUAAUACAUUGUACAAUGUGUCUGGGUAAGGUACUGACGGGACUACACUACACUUGGUAAUGAUAACUUAUCAUUGCUUUCGACUUCGUGUCGAUGUAACGACGAUAGCAAACAUCCUCGUAAUCGUAUGCCUUUCCCUCAUCCAUUCCAAGAGGCACAUCCAUUCCUAGCCUAGUUAAGACACAAGUUUGUCAGCUAUAGUUCGGUUAAGACUGUCUAAAACUAUCCAUAAUUUGUUACAAGUAACAAUCUUCAAGAAUCUGGUUGCUGUAACUAGAAUUGGAGUUUCAUUAGCAAUUUCUUCGCGGUGAAAACAACACUUUGUAUUACAACACCGGCACACUGUCCGUCGCUAGUCGCCAUGUUGCUGUUUACUCUUGUUGUUUACUGUUGUUGGCUGUACCACAACACGUGAAGUUAUUGUAACAAAAUCAAUUUAAUAGUAGUCUAAAAAAUAUUAUUCUGUAAUUAAAAUACACAUUAUAUCUAAUUAUAAUUUUAAAAUUUGUUUUUAAAGCAGUAAUACGAAGUUCGCAAAUAAUAAACUACGUAUCAAAAAUACAAUAUUCGAACGAGUACAAUGACGUUUACAAAAUGUCGUGUGCUAAUCUAGCGCAAAGAACUUUCAAUUUCGUGUAAAGGUGGCAUCCUCCAUCGCAUUUGAAAUACUUGCAUUCUGGCGCCCUCAUACACUUCACAGCACAUCGAAUGCAGCUUCCUGUCGAGUUUUGAGUCGUUAUUGAACGAUGAAAGUUUAAAGACUUGUAAUAAGUUGAGUGUUCAGCCAUUUUGUCUGCACAAAAAUAUACAGAGUUCUGACCAAGAAACCCAGACUCAAAACUACCGGGCCUGUGUCCAGCAGAGGGUAGUCCUUACCUCUAAAUAAUUUGAUACCCGACUAACUGACUAGCAAAGCGUUCGAUAAAGUCAACCACUGGACGUUGUUUAAGACGCUGGUUGAACGAGGUACCCCCAACCCUGUUAUUCAAGUCCUUCGAUCAUGGUGUCGGUCGCAGGAGUUUGUUGUCAGGAUGGAUAAAAUUUAGCUUCGCGUUGAACCUUGGAGAUGCAAAUACGUUUUCACCUUUCUUCAUCUAUCAAGUAUUGUUGAAUAAACACUUCAGAACAUAGAAAGCGUUGAGACCCUUUUGUUGAGUUGUGCGACCCCCAGCUACAAUUACCUACCUUGGUCACGUUAUAAACAAUAACCUAAGCGUUAGUGUGACGUUAAACGUCAAUACCGUUCGAUAUGUAUAAGACCUCUCUCAGUAGGAAAUUUGGUAAAUGCUCUAUGACGACUAAAUGUUAUUUGUUUAAAUGCUACUGUGUUAGUAUAUAUUGUUCUACUCUUUGGUGUAGAUAUAACAAAGGUACUAUAAGAUCGUUAAAAGUCUGCUAUAAUAAUGCCCUUCGUUUAUUACUGCGACAACCGAGGCACUUUAGUGCAAGUUUUAUGUUUGUAUCCAAUGGUGUACCGUCCUUUGACGAGUAUCUUCGAAACUCUAUACAUAGUUUCAAGAACCGUGUUAAAAUCAGCUCUAAUUCAAUAAUUUUGGCCAUUAAGCAUUAUGCUCUUUCCAAUUCUAAAAUGUAUAAACAGUGGAACAUUGUCGUACAUUAAGAUGAUUUCCUGAUCUUGAUGUUUUUCUUGAUUCAGUCUUUUUCACUUUUGUCUGAUAUUUAUAUGUAUUUGUAUUGGUUGAACUGUUGUUCUUUUGUAUGGGCAUGAAAGUCCGAAAUAAAAGAUGAAUGAAUGAAUGAAGUAAACUAUAUAAAGACACUUACCGUUACU